GCUUUCUAUUUAUAUCUAUAUUUAUGCUUGUAUCGCUUACAUGACCUCCGGAGGUUUUCGGAGGUCAACUCGAUAGAUAAUUUAGAUGGCGUGAAGACUUAACACAAGAAACGAAACUACAUAUAUUCAAGUUCAUGCCCUGUAAAUUAUUUUAUAAUUUGGAUAAACGUUUUACAUGGUUAUCAAUCCAAUAUGAAAAUUUGAGUCAAAUCGGUGGAUAUUUCAUCUUUAUCAAAGAGGGACGAAGGAUACCAGAGAGACAGUCAGACUCAUAAAUCGAAAAUAAACUGACAACACCAUGGCUAAAAAUGAAAAAGACAAACAGUCAAAUCAUAGUUCACAUUACACAACAUAGAAAACUGAAGAAAAAGCAACACGAACCCACCAAAAACUAGGGGUGAUACCAAGUGCUCCGGAAGGGUAAACAGAUCCUGCUCCACAUGUGGCACUCAUCGUGUUGCUCAUAUUUUAACAAAUCCAGUAAAUAGUCUUAUUCGGUAGGUCACAUUCAUUAAAGGGAAGGGGAUUGUAGUUACAACGUAAGGAACAUAUCCGAUAUCAUUUGUGAAACAGUUAUUCCAUAACGGUCAAUCAACUCGUGAUGGCGUCCGUAAAAUUUACAAAGGGAUGAUUUCAACUUCAACA
rnacentral:lncRNA from 1 species